rnacentral:rRNA from 1 species
GAAGAAGAUAUUAAGGGCGCACGGCGGAUGCCUUGGCACAGGAAGUCGAAGAAGGACGCGGCAAGCUGCGAUAAGCUUCGGGGAGGCGCAAACGGCCCUCGAUCCGAAGAUCUCCGAAUGGGGGAACCCAGCUGGGGUCAUGCCCAGCUACCCGCAUCUGAAUGAAAUAGGAUGCGAGGAGGCAACCCGGGGAACUGAAACAUCUAAGUACCCGGAGGAAGAGAAAUCAACCGAGAUUGCGCGAGUAGCGGCGAGCGAAAGCGCACCAGCCCAAACCCAUGCACGUGUAAGCGUAAGGGCGUUGCUGCAUGAGGUGUUGUGGGACCUCGCAUUCCAUGGUCCUUAUGCCAUGGACGGAGUUACAAAGGGACGCGGUAGCGGAACGGCCUGGGAAGGCCGGCGGAACAGGGUGACAGCCCCGUACGCGAAACCCCGCCCCCUCCGAGCGAGGCACCCGAGUAGCGCCGGGCACGUGAAACCCGGUGCGAAUCUGGGGGGACCACCCUCCAAGGCUGAACACUCUCCUGUGACCGAUAGCGAACCAGUACCGUGAGGGAAAGGUGAAAAGCACCCCGAGAGGGGAGUGAAACAGUACCUGAAACCGUGCGCCUACAAGCAGUCGGAGCAGCCUUCAUUGCGCUGUGACGGCGUGCCUUUUGUAGAAUGAGCCAGCGAGUUGCGGUAUGCGGCGAGGUUAAGCUUUUAAGCGAGCCGCAGUGAAAGCGAGCCUUUAAGAUGGCGAGUUAGUCGCAUGCUGCAGACGCGAAGCCGGGUGAGCUAUCCAUGGGCAGGCUGAAGCGGGGGUAAGACCCCGUGGAGGGCCGAACCCACUUCGGUUGAAAACGGAGGGGAUGACCCGUGGAUAGGGGUGAAAGGCCAAUCAAACCCGGAGAUAUCUCGUUCUCCCCGAAAUAGCUUUAGGGCUAGCCUCGGCCGUUCUCCGACGGCGGUAGAGCACUGGAUCGUCGAGGGGGCUUCACCGCCUACCGACACGAACCAAACUCCGAAUGCAGUCGGAUCAGAGGCCGGGAGUCAGAAUAUGUGGGCUAAGCUGUGUAUUCGAAAGGGAAACAGCCCAGACCGCCCGCUAAGGUCCCCAAGUUCGUGCUGAGUGGCAAAGGAUGUGCGUUUGCCUAGACAACCAGGAUGUUGGCUUAGAAGCAGCCAUGCAUUUAAAGAGUGCGUAACAGCUCACUGGUCAAGUGGACAUGCGCCGACAAUUCACGGGGCUAAGCACGGCACCGAAGCGGCGGGCUAGAUUUCAUCUAGCGGUAGGGGAGCGUUCCAUGCGGGGCGAAGCUCGAGGGGAACCUCGGGUGGACUGCAUGGAAGCGAGAAUGCUGGCAUGAGUAACGAGAGCGGCGCGAGAAACGCCGCCGCCGUAAGCCUAAGGGUUCCUGGGCAAGGCUAAUCCUCCCAGGGUCAGUCGGGAGCUAAGGCGAGGCCGAGAGGCGUAGCCGAUGCACAACAGGCGGACAUUCCUGUACCGCCGAUGGACCGUUAUACCGACGGGGUGACGGAGAAGGGUAGCCGAGCGGGGUUCUGGACGUCCCCGUGAAAGCGCGUAGGGAGUUGCGCAUGGAAAUCAGCGCAGCAUAUAUCCUGAGACGCGAGACGAAAGCUUUUGCUGAAGUCGGCGAGCCCAUGCUUCCGAGAAAAACCUCUAGGAAGGCACAUCGGCGCCCGUACCAAAACCGACACAGGUGGGCGGGUAGAACAUACCGAGGCGAUCGGGAGAACCAUGGUUAAGGAACUCGGCAUACUGACUCCGUAACUUCGGGAGAAGGAGUGCCCCUGGCGGUGACGGGACUUGCUCCCCGAGCGGCCGGGGGUCGCAGCGAAACGGCCCAAGCGACUGUUUAUCAAAAACACAGGACUCUGCUAAGCCGCAAGGCGACGUAUAGGGUCUGACGCCUGCCCGGUGCUGGAAGGUUACGCGGAUGGGUUAGCCUCACGGCGAAGCUCUGAAGCCAAGCCCCAGUAAACGGCGGCCGUAACUAUAACGGUCCUAAGGUAGCGAAAUUCCUUGUCGGGUAAGUUCCGACCUGCACGAAUGGCGUAACGAUUUGGGCGCUGUCUCAACCAUGGACCCGGUGAAAUUGUAUUAUUCGUGAAGAUGCGAAUUACCUGCGGAAGGACGGAAAGACCCCGUGAACCUUUACUGCAGCUUGACAUUGAUCGUUGGCUCGGCGCGUAGAGGAUAGGCAGGAGGCUUCGAAGCCCGGGCGCCAGCUCGGGUGGAGCCGACCUUGGAAUACUGCCCUCGUCGUGUUGGCGAUCUAACCCCCGGCCGUGAUCCGGCGGGGGGACCGUGUCAGGCGGGUAGUUUGACUGGGGCGGUCGCCUCCUAAAAUGUAACGGAGGCGCGCAAAGGUCCGCUCAGAACGGUUGGCAAUCGUUCGCAGAGCGCAAGAGUACAAGCGGGCUUGACUGCGAGGCCCACAAGCCGAGCAGAGACGAAAGUCGGUUCUAGUGAUCCGGCGGCACAGAGUGGAAUGGCCGUCGCUCAACGGAUAAAAGGUACUCCGGGGAUAACAGGCUGAUCUUGCCCAAGAGUCCACAUCGACGGCAAGGUUUGGCACCUCGAUGUCGGCUCAUCGCAUCCUGGGGCUGAAGUCGGUCCCAAGGGUAUGGCUGUUCGCCAUUUAAAGCGGUACGCGAGCUGGGUUCAGAACGUCGUGAGACAGUUCGGUCCCUAUCCUCCGCAGGCGCAAGAGGAUUGAGGAGGUCUGCCCCUAGUACGAGAGGACCGGGGUGGACGGACCUCUGGUGCAGCAGUUGUCGACCAACGGCACGGCUGCCUAGCUACGUCCGGCACGGAUAACCGCUGAAAGCAUCUAAGUGGGAAGCCGUCUCCAAGAUGAGUCCUCUUUCCGGUAAGGGCCCUCGCAGACCACGAGGUCGAUAGGCCGCAGCUGUAAGCGCAGCGAUGCGUUCAGGCGAGCGGUACUAAUAGCCCGAGCUCUUCUUCACAA